UACGUAGGGGGCAAGCGUUGUUCGGAAUUAUUGGGCGUAAAGGGAGUGUAGGCGGCUUGUUAAGUCUUCUGUGAAAUCUACGGGCUCAGCCUGUAACGUGCAGAGGAAACUGGCGAGCUUGAGUGUCGGAGAGGAUAGGGGAAUACCCGGUGUAGAGGUGAAAUUCGUAGAGAUCGGGUGGAACACCAGUGGCGAAGGCGCCUAUCUGGCUGACAACUGACGCUGAGACUCGAAAGCAUGGGGAGCAAACAGG
rnacentral:rRNA from 1 species